GGGGAUUUAGCUCAGUGGUAGGGCGCUUGCCUAGCAAGCACAAGGCCCUGGGUUCGGUCCCCAGCUCUG
rnacentral:tRNA from 1 species